CCAGACUCCUACGGGAGGCAGCAGUGAGGAAUAUUGGUCAAUGGGCUUACGCCUGAACCAGCCAAGUCGCGUGAGGGAAGACUGCCCUAUGGGUUGUAAACCUCUUUUGUCAGGGAGCAACGCCGGCUACGUGUAGCCGGACUGAGAGUACCUGAAGAAAAAGCAUCGGCUAACUCCGUGCCAGCAGCCGCGGUAAUACGGAGGAUGCGAGCGUUAUCCGGAUUUAUUGGGUUUAAAGGGUGCGUAGGCGGGACGGUAAGUCAGCGGUAAAAAUGCGGAGCUCAACUCCGUCGAGCCGUUGAAACUGCCGUUCUUGAGUGAGCGAGAAGUAUGCGGAAUGCGUGGUGUAGCGGUGAAAUGCAUAGAUAUCACGCAGAACUCCGAUUGCGAAGGCAGCAUACCGGCGCUCAACUGACGCUGAAGCACGAAGGCGUGGGUAUCGAACAGGAUUAGAUACCCUAGUA
rnacentral:rRNA from 1 species